rnacentral:pre_miRNA from 1 species
UGUGUACUCCCUCCGUCUGGAAAAACUUGUCAUCAAAAUGAAUAAAAGAGGAUGUAUCUAGAUGUAUUUUAGUUCUAGAUACAUCUUUUUUUGUCCAUUUUGAUGACAAGUAUUUUCGGACGGAGGGAGUACUUU